GUAGGUGGCAAGCGUUGUCCGGAAUUAUUGGGCGUAAAGCGCGCGCAGGCGGUUCGUUUAAGUCUGAUGUGAAAGCCCACGGGCUCAACCGUGGAGGGUCAUUGGAAACUGGAGAACUUGAGUACAGAAGAGGAAAGCGGAAUUCCACGUGUAGCGGUGAAAUGCGUAGAGAUGUGGAGGAACACCAGUGGCGAAGGCGGCUUUCUGGUCUGUAACUGACGCUGAGGCGCGAAAGCGUGGGGAGCAAACAGGAUUAGAUACCCUGGUAGUCCACGCCGUAAACGAUGAGUGCUAGUGUUAGGGGGUUUCCGCCCCUUAGUGCUGCAGCUAACGCAUUAAGCACUCCGCCUGGGGAGUACGGCCGCAAGGCUG
rnacentral:rRNA from 1 species